rnacentral:rRNA from 1 species
CAGUCGCCACGGGAAUACGGAGGGUGCAAGCGUUAAUCGGAAUUACUGGGCGUAAAGCGCACGCAGGCGGUCUGACAAGUCAGAUGUGAAAUCCCCGGGCUUAACCUGGGAACUGCAUUUGAAACUGUCAGGCUGGAGUCUUGUAGAGGGGGGUAGAAUUCCAGGUGUAGCGGUGAAAUGCGUAGAGAUCUGGAGGAAUACCGGUGGCGAAGGCGGCCCCCUGGACAAAGACUGACGCUCGGGUGCGAAAGCGUGGGGAGCAAACAGGAUUAGAUACCCCUGUAGUCCCUGUCUAUUAUAU